rnacentral:rRNA from 1 species
UACAGAGGUCUCAAGCGUUGUUCGGAUUCAUUGGGCGUAAAGGGUGCGUAGGUGGCGCGGUAAGUCGGGUGUGAAAUUUCGGAGCUUAACUCCGAAACUGCAUUCGAUACUGCCGUGCUUGAGGACUGGAGAGGAGCCUGGAAUUUACGGUGUAGCAGUGAAAUGCGUAGAGAUCGUAAGGAAGACCAGUGGCGAAGGCGGGUCUCUGGACAGUUCCUGACACUGAGGCACGAAGGCCAGGGGAGCAAACGGG